UACGAAGGGGGCUAGCGUUGUUCGGAAUUACUGGGCGUAAAGCGCGUGUAGGCGGGCCGUUAAGUCGGGGGUGAAAGCCCAGAGCUCAACUCUGGAAUUGCCUUCGAUACUGGCGGCCUGGAGCAUGAUAGAGGCGAGUGUAAGUGCGAGUGUAGAGGUGAAAUUCGUAGAUAUUUGCAGGAACACCAGUGGCGAAGGCGACUCGCUGGAUCAUUGGUGACGCUGAGACGCGAAAGCGUGGGGAGCAAACAGG
rnacentral:rRNA from 1 species